rnacentral:lncRNA from 1 species
AUUAAAACAUAUCUCUAAUUAGAUCUAAUCUAAUCAUGCAUACAUAGAGAUCAUAUCUUAAUAUAAACCUAAGCAUCAUCAUAUAUACAGGAUUAAGAUCAAGCAAAAAUAAAAAUCUAAUUUUUAUCUUUGCGUGGGUAGAUCUUCACCACGAUCCGAUAAACCAUAGAUAUCUUCAUGAUCCAUUGAAGCUGCGAUUUAAUGAUCUAUGGAUGUCUUCAAGAUUUUUUUGAAGCCACACAAGUGUCUGACCUCUACAAGUAUCCAUAUGAGGU